rnacentral:rRNA from 1 species
GAUUCUGGCUCAGGAUGAACGCUAGCGGCAGGCUUAACACAUGCAAGUCGAGGGGCAACGCGAGUAGCAAUACUUGGCGGCGACCGGCGCAAGGGUGCGUAACGCGUGAGCAACAUGCCCGUAUCAGGGGGAUAAUCCAGGGAAACUUGGUCUAAUACCCCAUAGUAAUUUUGUAAGGCAUCUUAUAAGAUUUAAAGCUUUGGUGGAUACGGAUUGGCUCGCGUGACAUUAGCUGGAUGGUAAGGUAACGGCUUACCAUGGCUAUGAUGUCUAGGGGUUCUGAGAGGAAGGUCCCCCACACUGGAACUGAGACACGGUCCAGACUCCUACGGGAGGCAGCAGUGAGGAAUAUUGGACAAUGGAUGGAAAUCUGAUCCAGCCAUGCCGCGUGAAGGAAGAAGGUCCUAUGGAUUGUAAACUUCUUUUGUAUGGGAGCAAUAAGGCCUACGAGUAGGUUGAUGAGAGUACCAUACGAAUAAGCACCGGCUAACUCCGUGCCAGCAGCCGC